AUUGAACGCUGGCGGAAUGCUUUACACAUGCAAGUCGAACGGCAGCACGGACUUCGGUCUGGUGGCGAGUGGCGAACGGGUGAGUAAUGUAUCGGAACGUGCCCAGUCGUGGGGGAUAACGUAGUGAAAAUUACGUUAAUACCGCAUACGACCUCUGGAUGAAAGCGGGGGAUCGCAAGACCUCGCGCGAUUGGAGCGGCCGAUAUCAGAUUAGGUAGUUGGUGGGGUAAAGGCCCACCAAGCCAACGAUCUGUAGCCGGUCUGAGAGGACGACCAGCCACACUGGAACUGAGACACGGUCCAGACUCCUACGGGAGGCAGCAGUGGGGAAUUUUGGACAAUGGGCGAAAGCCUGAUCCAGCCAUUCCGCGUGCAGGAUGAAGGCCCUCGGGUUGUAAACUGCUUUUGUACAGAACGAAAAGGUUUCUACUAAUACUAGGAGCUCAUGACGGUACUGUAAGAAUAAGCACCGGCUAACUACGUGCCAGCCGCCGCAGUAA
rnacentral:rRNA from 1 species